AGCAGCCGCGGUAAUUCCAGCUCCAAUAGCGUAUAUUAAAGUUGUUGCAGUUAAAAAGCUCGUAGUUGAAUUUCGGGAUCAAUAUGUCGGUCGUGCCUUCGGUACGUACUGGUAUCAUUGGUCUCUCCUUUCUGACGAACCAUGAUGUCAUUAAUUUGGUGUUAUGGGGAGUUAGGACUGUUACUUUGAAAAAUUAGAGUGUUUAAAGCAGGCUUUAGCUUGAAUACAUUAGCAUGGAAUAAUGAAAUAGGACGUUCGAACCUAUUUUGUUGGUUUCUAGGAUCAACGUAAUGAUUAAUAGGGAUAGUUGGGGGCAUUAGUAUUCAAUUGUCAGAGGUGAAAUUCUUGGAUUUAUUGAAGACUAACUACUGCGAAAGCAUUUGCCAAGGAUGUUUUCAUUAAUCAAGAACGAAAGUUAGGGGAUCGAAGACGAUCAGAUACCGUCGUAGUCUUAACCAUAAACUAUGCCGACUAGGGAUCGGAUGAUGUUAAUUUUUAAUGUACUCAU
rnacentral:rRNA from 1 species